GUCGGCGUCAUAUGUUUUCUACUUAGGAGUUAAAUGUGGCGUUGCGGAGAGUUAAAGGGACUUUUAACGGCACCGCAAAGUCCCGAAAUCAAAUUUGCAUCAGUUUUAAUCAACCACACUACAAAUACUGAUUCAUUCGAGUAAGUGUGUUUCGUGAUAAAUAGUCAAAAUGUACAAGAAUGAACGGGAAAUCCACAGUUACCAAGUGUGACACUGAGGUUGGGCAACUCGUGAUGCAGUCCGGAGUUUUGUCAAUACGGCUGAAGACCAACCAGCAGGAUUCUAACUGACUGAGCUCAGAUGUGCUGACAGACCACAGUGUGACUCCACAGUUCACCACUAGAGGACGACAAACGCUCACGAAUGGAUUUAAAAAUGGUUAAAAAUGAAGGAUUCCUUCACUCAUUCUGCUCCUUCAGUUUGAAGCUUCUGUCAGAUGUGUUGGUGACGUCUAUUGUUGGCGUCUUAUUACUCUCCAGGGAUUACUGACUCUAACUCAUUCAUUGUUUUGUUGUUUUGUUAUAGUUUUAGAAACAUACACCCAGUUUCAACAUUAAAUCCACCAACCUAA